UGGCCACAUCAAAUUUAAACACCAGAUCUUGUACGAUCACCGAAGUUAAGCAACGUCGCGCCUGGUCAGUAUAUAGAUGGGUAAUAGCUUGGGAAUAACAAUUGCUGUA